rnacentral:rRNA from 3 species
GACGAACCGUCCAAACGUUAUUCGGAAUUACUGGGCUUAAAGGGUGCGUAGGCGGUGCUACAAGUCGGGUGUGAAAUCCCUCAGCUUAACUGAGGAACUGCGCCCGAAACUGUAGUGCUGGAGUGAGGCAGGGGUGAGCGGAACUGAUGGUGGAGCGGUGAAAUGUGUUGAUAUCAUCAGGAACACCGGUGGCGAAGGCGGCUCACUGGGCCUUUACUGACGCUGAGGCACGAAAGCUAGGGGAGCAAACGGG